AUUGAACGCUGGCGGCAUGCCUUACACAUGCAAGUCGAACGGCAGCGGGCCUUCGGGUGCCGGCGAGUGGCGAACGGGUGAGUAAUGCAUCGGAACGUGCCAUUGAGUGGGGGAUAACGUAGCGAAAGUUACGCUAAUACCGCAUAUUCUGUGAGCAGGAAAGCAGGGGGACCGCAAGGCCUUGCGCUCUUUGAGCGGCCGAUGUCAGAUUAGCUAGUUGGUGAGGUAAAGGCUUACCAAGGCGACGAUCUGUAGCGGGUCUGAGAGGAUGAUCCGCCACACUGGAACUGAGACACGGUCCAGACUCCUACGGGAGGCAGCAGUGGGGAAUUUUGGACAAUGGGCGCAAGCCUGAUCCAGCCAUGCCGCGUGAGUGAAGAAGGCCUCGGUUGUAAGACUCUUUCGGUCCGGGAACGGAAAGUACG
rnacentral:rRNA from 1 species